UGUGAAAGGGAAACGCUUGAAGUCAGUCAUGUCGUCCAGGGAUCAACCUUGCUUUUGCUUGGUGCACUUUCUGGUUUGACAGGUCAGCAUCAAUUUUGACCAUUGGAAAAAGGCUAAGGGAAUGUGGCAUCUUUGGAUGUGUUAUAGCCCUUGGUCGCAUACAAUGGUUGGGAUUGAGGAACUCAGCACGCCGAAAGGCCGGGUUUUAAACCACGUUCGUGCUUAGGAUGCUGGCAAUAUGGCUUUAAUCGACCCGUCUUGAAACACGGACCAAGGAGUCUAACAUGCCUGCGAGUGUUUGGGUGGAAAACCCGAGCGCGUAAUGAAAGUGAAAAGUUGAGAUCCCUGUCGUGGGGAGCAUCGACGCCCGGACCAGACCUUUUGUGACGGUUCCGCGGUAGAGCAUGUAUGUUGGGACCCGAAAGAUGGUGAACUAUGCCUGAAUAGGGUGAAUCCAGAGGAAACUCUGGUGGAGGCUCGUAGCGAUUCUGACGUGCAAAUCGAUCGUCAAAUUUGGGUAUAGGGGCGAAAGACUAAUCGAACCAUCUAGUAGCUGGUUCCAGCCGAAGUUUCCCUCAGGAUAGCAGAAACUCAUAUCAGAUUUAUGUGGUAAAGCGAAUGAUUAGAGGCCUUGGGGUUGAAACAACCUUAACCUAUUCUCAAACUUUAAAUAUGUAAGAACAAGCCGUCUCUUGAUUGGACCGCUUGGCGAUUGAGAGUUUCUAGUGGGCCAUUUUUGGUAAGCAGAACUGGCGAUGCGGGAUGAACCGAACGCGAGGUUAAGGUGCCGGAAUUCACGCUCAUCAGACACCACAAAAGGUGUUGGUUCAUCUAG
rnacentral:rRNA from 1 species